UGUUUUUUGUUUUAAUCCAUAAUAAUACUAAUCAUUUGCACGCUCUGGAAAGCGUUAUAAAUCCUUGCAGUUUUUUACCAUUUUCUCAAUCUUGAAUUUAAUUUCAUAUCAAGAUGGCAGCUGCAAGAAACACAUUUUUGCUUGUACUCUUUGGACUUGCUUUCCAAAGUCAGUCUGGAUCUGCUAAUAUCAUCCCGAUUAAUGCCCCAUCGCUCACACCUGCGGCACUACCACCCAUUGACAUCGCUGGUCUGAAUCAAUUAGCAUCGUUUGCACUGUUUGGUUUUGUUCCGGGUGUUCCUCCGUCAUGGCAAUCUAUCAGUCUUAACACACUCCUUGGCCAAGUUAUAAUCGGACCUAUUUUGAUUCCUAUCAUUUCAGGCAACUUAGGUAUUAUCAAUACAUUGUUGAGCAAUCUUCUUGUUUCCAGUAGUAAUCCAAUGCAAGGCCUCGUAACCCUCAUUUAUGUUCUAUUGAAAACCCUUGCUAAUUUAUUUGUUGUUGAGCCUGUUUUUACUGUGUUGUUUGAUUGGUUCAGUGCCAAAUUUUAUUAAUUUGUUAAAAAUUGUAAAUCUCAAAUAAAAAUCGUUAAAUUUUGAGUUGUAAA